AUACUUAAUUCUUACUUUUUGCACUUUCUAUUUAUAACUUUGGCCACUGUAUUAUGACUUAGAAACACUUAGUUAGCUUUGAUUUCUAUCUUUUGCAUGGUUGUUGAAGUAAGUACAUCUGUGAUGCUGAAAGUUUUCUUAAUGUUUUCUAGGAUGACAUUGUUCUUAAUUCUUUGUGCAGGCAUGCACUUAGACUCUGAUCUAGUGAUGUUAAGCUUGAAGGAAAUUGGAAAACUCAAGGCUGCCUCCAAGAGAAGAGGCAAAAUACUUGGUGUGCAAGCAAUCUCUCACGAGAGACUCUUACUUUUGUUUGCAUUUUGCAAGAGGGUCAUCUAAAGUGAAUUUGAUGUCUUUGAAACAAGAUUACUUGGAAUGGAGAAUGUUACAAUGUACCUACAUUUGGACUACGUUUUUAUUUCUUGACGGUGGAAGAGCUGUGCAGGGCGCUUUUGGAAAAAAUGCUCUAGUUGGAUUUGGUUUGACAACUUACACAAUGCUUGGAUUAGGAGUGGUGUGUAGAUGUGACUGGAGCUUACAGUGCUCUAAAGACGGAGCUUAACAUAAGCUUGACAGCAAUAGGCCUUUUGUGGACUACAACUGGCUUUAUUGCAAAGAGGA